rnacentral:lncRNA from 1 species
GGGGUUCAGGUUUCCGAUUUGCUCCCCCGCCUCGUCUGUGAGGGCGGAUUUCGUGAAAGGGGCGCUGAGCAGCGUCAUCGGAGCCGGCGACGAUGAGGCGGCUCUGGCGGGGGGCAGGGAGCGGAGCGGGUGGGUUUCGGUGGGGAGCGGAUCGUGUGGUUUUCGGUGGAGGCGGAGAGGAAAUACGGAGUUAGGGAUUUCGUGGUGGUGGCGGCGGUCGACGCGACGAGGACGGAGGCGGUGGCGCAGGAAGAGGUGGCGGCUUUUGUCGCCGCCCAAUCGAAAGCGGGAGCGUAGGAUGGACAUUAGGGUUUUUUUAUUUGGUUGCAAGUUUGGCAAUUCCAUGAAAGGGUCGAAUUGUAACGAAACGGGUAUGGAUAUUCGUCCCGUUUAAAUGUUUGUUUUACAAUUUUAUGUAGAAUGUGUUCACAGUUUCGAACUUCAAAACCCAACAAUAUGGGUACUCGUAAUUCAAUUUGUAGAUUUAUUUAUGUCGAUA